UACGUAGGGUGCGAGCGUUGUCCGGAAUUAUUGGGCGUAAAGAGCUUGUAGGCGGUUUGUCGCGUCUGCCGUGAAAAUCCGGGGCUCAACCCCGGACUUGCGGUGGGUACGGGCAGACUAGAGUGUGGUAGGGGGAAACUGGAAUUCCUGGUGUAGCGGUGAAAUGCGCAGAUAUCAGGAGGAACACCGAUGGCGAAGGCAGGUCUCUGGGCCACUACUGACGCUGAGAAGCGAAAGCAUGGGGGAGCGAACAGG
rnacentral:rRNA from 1 species